GACCUUANNNNNUUNNUNCCCCCNNUNUCAGAUGAACGCUGGCGGCAGGCCUAACACAUGCAAGUCGAACGGUAGCACAGAGAGCUUGCUCUCGGGUGACGAGUGGCGGACGGGUGAGUAAUGUCUGGGAAACUGCCUGAUGGAGGGGGAUAACUACUGGAAACGGUAGCUAAUACCGCAUAACGUCGCAAGACCAAAGAGGGGGACCUUCGGGCCUCUUGCCAUCAGAUGUGCCCAGAUGGGAUUAGCUAGUAGGUGGGGUAACGGCUCACCUAGGCGACGAUCCCUAGCUGGUCUGAGAGGAUGACCAGCCACACUGGAACUGAGACACGGUCCAGACUCCUACGGGAGGCAGCAGUGGGGAAUAUUGCACAAUGGGCGCAAGCCUGAUGCAGCCAUGCCGCGUGUAUGAAGAAGGCCUUCGGGUUGUAAAGUACUUUCAGCGGGGAGGAAGGUGUUGUGGUUAAUAACCNCAGCAAUUGACGUUACCCGCAGAAGAAGCACCGGCUAACUCCGUGCCAGCAGCCGCGGUAAUACGGAGGGUGCAAGCGUUAAUCGGAAUUACUGGGCGUAAAGCGCACGCAGGCGGUCUGUCAAGUCGGAUGUGAAAUCCCCGGGCUCAACCUGGGAACUGCAUUCGAAACUGGCAGGCUGGAGUCUUGUAGAGGGGGGUAGAAUUCCAGGUGUAGCGGUGAAAUGCGUAGAGAUCUGGAGGAAUACCGGUGGCGAAGGCGGCCCCCUGGACAAAGACUGACGCUCAGGUGCGAAAGCGUGGGGAGCAAACAUGGAUUAGAUACCCUGGUAGUCCACGCCCGUAAAAACGGAAUUGUUCGAUUUGGAGGUUGUGCCCUUGAGGCGUGGCUUCCGGAGCUAACGCGUUAAAUCGACCGCCUGGGGAGUACGGCCGCAAGGUUAAAACUCAAAUGAAUUGACGGGGGCCCGCACAAGCGGUGGAGCAUGUGGUUUAAUUCGAUGCAACGCGAAGAACCUUACCUGGUCUUGACAUCCACAGAACUUUCCAGAGAUGGAUUGGUGCCUUCGGGAACUGUGAGACAGGUGCUGCAUGGCUGUCGUCAGCUCGUGUUGUGAAAUGUUGGGUUAAGUCCCGCAACGAGCGCAACCCUUAUCCUUUGUUGCCAGCGGUUNGGCCGGGAACUCAAAGGAGACUGCCAGUGAUAAACUGGAGGAAGGUGGGGAUGACGUCAAGUCAUCAUGGCCCUUACGACCAGGGCUACACACGUGCUACAAUGGCGCAUACAAAGAGAAGCGACCUCGCGAGAGCAAGCGGACCUCAUAAAGUGCGUCGUAGUCCGGAUUGGAGUCUGCAACUCGACUCCAUGAAGUCGGAAUCGCUAGUAAUCGUAGAUCAGAAUGCUACGGUGAAUACGUUCCCGGGCCUUGUACACACCGCCNGUCACACCAUGGGAGUGGGUUGCAAAAGAAGUAGGUAGCUUAACCUUCGGGAGGGCGCUUACCACUUUGUGAUUCAUGACUGGGGUGA
rnacentral:rRNA from 1 species